rnacentral:rRNA from 1 species
CCUACGGGAGGCAGCAGUGGGGAAUAUUGGACAAUGGGCGAAAGCCUGAUCCAGCCAUGCCGCGUGUGUGAAGAAGGCCUUCGGGUUGUAAAGCACUUUCAGUGGGGAAGAAAGCCUUGGGGCUAAUACCCUCGAUGAAUGACAUCACCCACAGAAGAAGCACCGGCUAACUCCGUGCCAGCAGCCGCGGUAAUACGGAGGGUGCGAGCGUUAAUCGGAAUUACUGGGCGUAAAGCGCGCGUAGGCGGUCUGAUAAGCCGGUUGUGAAAGCCCCGGGCUCAACCUGGGAACGGCAUCCGGAACUGUGAGGCUAGAGUGCAGGAGAGGAAGGUAGAAUUCCCGGUGUAGCGGUGAAAUGCGUAGAGAUCGGGAGGAAUACCAGUGGCGAAGGCGGCUUUCUGGACUGAAACUGACGCUGAGGUGCGAAAGCGUGGGUAGCAAACAGGAUUAGAUACCCCGGUAGUC